rnacentral:rRNA from 1 species
GAUGAAGCCCUUCGGGGUGUAAAGCUCUUUCGACCGGGACGAUAAUGACGGUACCCGGAGAAGAAGCUGCGGCUAACUACGUGCCAGCAGCCGCGGUAAUACGUAGGCGGCAAGCGUUGUUCGGAAUUACUGGGCGUAAAGGGUGCGUAGGCGGUUUUCUAAGUCUGGUGUGAAAUCUCCCGGCUCAACUGGGAGGGUGCGCCGGAAACUGGAAGGCUUGAGUGUGGGAGAGGUAAGUGGAAUUCCUGGUGUAGCGGUGAAAUGCGUAGAUAUCAGGAGGAACACCUGUGGUGUAAACGGCUUACUGGACCAUUACUGACGCUGAGGCACGAAAGCGUGGGGAGCAAACAGGAUUAGAUACCCUGGUAGUCCACGCCCUAAACGAUGCAUACUUGGUGUGGGCGGUUCACUUCCUUCGUGCCGGAACUCACGCGUUAAAUAUGCCCCCCGGGGAGUACAGUCGCAAGGCUGAAACUC